UUACCACAGGUGAGUCAGAAAUUGUUUCCAUACUGAUUUACAGCAAAGGGUGCCAAUACCAGUGACACAGCAAGAAGAUAUUCCACAUUACGGGUGCCAAUAAUGGUGAGCAGGACUGUACGGUUCAUCACUGUGGUGUCAAGGUUCAAAUGAAUGACCAUCAAUAACUGCUGAACUCUUAAAGAGACAUUGCCAAGCUUAGACAGUGUGCCUUAUUGUACAGACAGUGUUGGAUAACUUUUACUUUGAACAGCCUGACCAGCAUUUCAGGUGAAAAUCUGAAGGAUGCGGAGCACAGUGCUCCCAGCGGACUCAGCCCUUCUCCUCAAAGCGGGACCUGAGGAGGAGCCUGGCAGAACAGGAAGUGAAAAAACCAAAAGGGUACCGCAAGUGGCCUUGGAGAGGCUUCAAAAAGCGCUGUACUCCGGUGGAUACCGCGCCACAGCGUGCCUCAGAUGUCUCUCUUUGUUACUGAAGCCAAAGACAGAAGAAAAGUCGUCCAUGAUGAAAAAUUGAGGCAACUGUAGUAUAUGCGAGCAUGGUCACACUGUACAAGCAUGCCACCCUGCAAUAUUUUCUGGUCUUUCGGUGGUUGAUGCAUGACAAUUAAUUUAAGCAUAUCUUUCUGACUCGGGGAAAUCUUUAAGGCUGUCCACUGCAGGCCUACUCCAAUAAACAGGUUGAAGAGAACUUGGUUCAGUAAAGCUGUUUUAUUUGCUCCUGGCAACAUUUGCCUUUUGAAUUUUGCUCCACUUCAUCUCCUUUUGUUGUGCAUCAACCAGAAACUAUUAUAUCACCUGUCAGUGAAGAGGAACAGGUCCAACUAGACCGAGUACCUAUAUGAUGACAUGACUCAUUGAACUGGCGAAAACUUGGUGAAAAUUGACCCAAAAAUGAGAAUUCAGCCAUCAUCUACCCACCCCAUGCUAAUGGAAAGUCGGGUGAAAUUUUGUAGUCCACAAAACAUUUCUGGAGCUACACGGCAAAGCAGCGUUUUAAACAACUGAAGUGGAUUUAGGGGGACUUGUUUUAUGCAUUUAUGUCAGUAAAUGAAGAGCCUUUGGGUUUUGGACUGGAGCAAUUCAAAGAAGUCACAUAGGGGUCUCCACAUAUUCGUGGCACUUUCAAGACAGCAUGAAUCGACUAAUCGUGAACAUAACCAGCAGAUUAAUUGACCCUUUAAUAAAUAAACAAUAAUGGUCGACAGACCCA